rnacentral:rRNA from 1 species
CUUAUGAAAGUAAAUAUAAGGUCUGGCCUGCCCACUGAAGAAUAUUUAAAGGGCCGCGGUAUUUUGACCGUGCUAAGGUAGCAUAAUCAGUAGUCUUUUAAUUGAAGGCUGGAAUGAAUGGUUGGACAAGAAACAAUCUGUCUUAACUUUGAAAAUUGAAUUUUACUUUUAAGUGAAAAGGCUUAAAUAAUUUAAA